rnacentral:rRNA from 1 species
GACGAACGCUGGCGGCGUGCUUAACACAUGCAAGUCGAACGAAGUGGCGAACGGGUGAGUAACUCGUAAUCAACCUGCCCUUCAGCGGGGGACAACAGUUGGAAAUGACUGCUAAUACCGCAUACUGAAGGAGGGGAUUGCGUCUGAUCAGCUAGUUGGAGGGGUAACGGCCCACCAAGGCGAUGCUCAGUAGGCGGUCUGAGAGGAUGAACGGCAACAUUGGGACUGAGACACGGCCCAGACGACGACGGGAGGCAGCAGUGGGGAAGCUUCCGCAAUGGACGAAAGUCUGACUGAGCAACGCCGCGUGAGUGAUGACGGCCUUCGGGUUGUAAAGCUCUGUUAAUCGGGACGCGGUACCGGAAUAGAAAGCCACGGCUAACUACGUGCCAGCCGCCGCGGUAAUAC